rnacentral:lncRNA from 1 species
AGCGUGAAGCUUUUAGGGGCUUCUGAAAUGAAAUCCUUUCUUUUGAUCCUCCUGUCUUCUUAGUAGGUGUGUAUGAAAGUACUUUGUAAAAAAUAACUAUAUACCAGUGAGACAAAUAAGAAUGGAAAAUUUCAGAGAGUUAGACGUCAAGCUCUUUCUUCAGCACAUGCUCUGGAAAGCACUUUUAGAUUUACUACUAGAUACUGGUAAGGCAGAUCAAAUUCUUAUCAAUAAUUUGAAUCUUAAUUAUACCAUUUACUAGUUGCAUGACUUUGGGCAUGUUAUCUAAGCCUCCUGUGCCCCAUCUGUGAAGUGGAGGUAGCAAUUCCUCAGAAUUGUGGUAAGGUUUAAAUGACGCAUUAUAUUCAAAGCACUUUGCACUCAUUAAAGAUAUUAUGAGCAGAUGCUCAAUAAAGUGAAUCCAUUAACAUUUUAAUGUGUUACUUCAAGGUUUUUUUGUGGCUAAUAAUUUUUUUUGUGUCCAACAGAAAAAUGGGUGGCUCAGCACCACCAGAUAGCAGCUGGAGAGGAAGUCUCAAAGUGCCCUACAAUGUUGGACCUGGCUUUACUGGAAACUUUUCUACACAAAAAGUCAAGAUGCACAUCCACUCUACCAAUGGAGUGAUGAGAAUUUACAAUGUGAUAGGUACUCUCAGAGGAGCAGUGGAACCAGGUAAAGGAAUCGUUUGCUUAGCAAAUAUUGAUCAAGUAACUGUUAUGUGCUGGAUACUACCAAGCUCUGGGAGUGCAAAGUGAAUCAAAACAAACAAACAAACAAACAAACAAACAAGCGAAGAAAAUCAGUGGAACUCACCUAAAAACAAAGGAAAUAAGUAUGAAAUAAUUUUGUAUUGUGGUACAGGUGGUGAAUAAAAGUGAAUGUUUGGUGCUAGGCUGGGCAGAUGACCAAGGUGAAUGAUAAAUUGUGCAGGCCUCAAUUAAAGGAUCAAGGGAAGCAGGGUAGGGAAAGAUGUGUUUUCUUCCGAGUUUUCUGAAUUUUUUUAACCAUAUUUUUGCAUAAAUAUCUUCAUGAUAACUAUAAACAUCGAUAUAAAAUAUCACACUUAGAAAAUUAAGAUAAUCUUGUAUUAAUGAAUCCUUUGCAUAGUUUUAUUUUCUACCACUAAAGCCACUGAUAAAAUAUAUGGACAUAUGAUUUCCAUAGAAUUUCAGAUGAUCUACUGAUUAAUACAUUUUAUACAUAGUCUUAGUUCAUGAAGGCUCAGUUUCUUAUGAACUAUUUUGUUCUGUAUUUCUUACCAAAACAGAUACUAUUAAAUGCAUAUUAAACCUAUUAAUUGCAUGUUUCUUACAAGCAGCUAUGAUUUAUUUUAGAUCAAGAAUAUUGAUAUCCUUGUUGUUUGCAUAUUCUAAAGAGUACUAAACAAUAUAUAAGUGGCUACUAUUGAAUAAUACUGAGUACCUAUUUUGUGCCAGCUCCGUGAUAAGCAUUGGAAAUGGGGAGAUAAAAGAAGACACAGAUCCGAGGCAAAGAGCUGACAGUUUGUGAAGGGAGCCAUAUGCUUAAGGGUGAUCAAUGCUUUAUCACUCCUGAUAGCUGGGUAGGCAAAGAAAUUCCCUCUUCUAUAGAAAAUACUUGAGCUGUACCUUAAAAACUGCAUAGAGGGAGAAAAUAUUUGAGCUGUACCUUAAAAACUGAAUAGAGGGAGAAAAUAUUUGAGCUGUACCUUAAAAACUGAAUAGAAAGAAUAGGAAUUGGAGAACUUCCUAUGUGGCCACUAUGUUCUCUUACUUUGGAUAUAUUCGAAAGUGGUAAGUUAGGUAAGAGAGGAGUAUUCUCUUAUUCACACAAAAAAAUGUGAAUAAGGAUAACGUUAAACUUUAAUUACUUAAUGUAGUACUUAUAAUUAUAGUAAUACAUUUCAAUAUAUAUUUGCUUUAUAGCAUGUAUGCUUUCUCAGAUAGAAGAAAUACAUAUUAAAAUCAGAAAUAACAUAUUUUCACAAAUCUUGGGGAACCUAGCCUUUUUUUUUUUUGAGUCAUGAGUGCUUUGUAUUUAGAUGCUACUGAGUUGUUUGCAAUGUUCUCUUUUAUUGACCUGAAAUGACAAAUAAUCUUGUAUCUAUGCUUUCUAGACAGAUAUGUCAUUCUGGGAGGUCACAGGGACUCAUGGGUGUUUGGUGGUAUUGACCCUCAGAGUGGAGCAGCUGUUGUUCAUGAAAUUGUAAGGAGCUUUGGAACACUGAAAAAGGAAGGUAAUACAAACAAACAGCAAAAAAACCAACCUAUCUGAGUCUCAGUUUAGUCUUCUGUAAAGGGAGUAUAAAAAUACUACCUCAACCAUUACAUGUGUUUGGUAAAAAUACCAAUACAAUUUUUAAUGUUGGUUGGUUAAUUAUAUUGUUUAUUUAUUUUUGCAUUUAUUUAUAUAACACAUAUAUUAUUGAUAUUUAUGUAUUAAGUGAUAAUCUGAAAUAAGGAAUUAUACUGUUAAUGGUUGUUCUUG